CAAGGUUUAGGGCACUUCGAAAAACCCAUUUAUUGCUGCGUAGGUUUUUGUGGACGACGGUCCGGCUCCCCAGCUUCCUGCCCUCCUGCCAUAAGGAAGCUUCUGCUUCUAUUUUCCAGGCGUCACGAGAGAGAGACUGAUCUUGGGGAGAAAAGGCAGGUAAGUCACGGAAGGUGAGCAAACGCAUCUCGAGCCCCGCUUGGCCCCGGGGUCUUGGGUGCCGGGCGGCGCGCACGGCCCUGGAACUGAAUUCUUGUGGGUGCCCGGCCCCUUGGUGGGGAUUUUGGUGGGUGCUGGGGGCACCCGGGGAAUCGUCGCCCGCGCUUCCAGCCCUGCGGCUCCGUGCCACGGAAUUCCUUUGUUGCCUUUGCGCUGCGCCCUCCCCAAAUCUCAGGGCGCGUCUGUGAUUUCUUCGCCCCGUCGCCGCGCCGUCUCCAAGGGGCGCAUCGGGAAAGGGAGCCCGCCGGGGCGCACGCCUCUCCGGCUCCCGGGCGCGGGCGGCGGGGGCGGCGCUUCCUUCCCGGCGCGCGGGGGGAGCCGAGGGAGAGGCCGGCCACGGAGAGCCGGGAGGCGGCGGCUGGAGGAGGAGGAGGAGGAGGAGCCGCCGCAGCCCGAGCGGCCAUCGCAGGAGGAGGAGGAGGAGGACGGAGACGCCGGCGCCCCCAGCCGCCUUUGCCUCCAGGUGAGCGGCGCCCGGGGAACUGCCCGCUCGCCAAGAGCCUGAGGGGACCGGGCGGGGGUCCCCCAGCCUGCCCCCCCCAGCUGGGCUGAAUCCUCGGCAGGGCGAGCUGCAAGCGCGCUUCCUCCGGGCAUGUGCAGAGCGCGCAUCCCUUUGCGCGCAAUCUUCUUCGCCGCGCGCGCCCUCCGGAGUCCUCGCCCGCCGAGCCCCCGGACCUUUUUCCCGGACGGGGCCGCGGCCCGGGCCUGCGAUGGGUGGGGCUGCACGAAAGGGGCGCCGGAGCAUGUGCAGAGUGCCCCCUGCCGUCUGAUCCUACGCGCUUUCUGGGGUGGAGGGUUUCCAGGGCAGGGCUGCGCCCCUGCGCCUUUGGCAAUACCUGCCAAAGAAAGUGGGGCGGGGGGGGUAGCUUGCGCCCCCCACCCACCCUCCUGCUCCCUUGUACCUGGGGGGGGGGGAAGGGCAAGGCCCGCCCUGGCACCUGCCGCC